rnacentral:rRNA from 1 species
UACAGAGGUCUCAAGCGUUGUUCGGAUUCAUUGGGCGUAAAGAGCGCGCAGGCGGCUGGUCAAGUCCGAUGUGAAAUCUCCCGGCUUAACUGGGAAACUGCAUCGGAAACUGAUCGGCUUGAAGGUAGGAGAGGGUAGUGGAAUUCCCGGUGUAGUGGUGAAAUUCGUAGAUAUCGGGAGGAACACCAGUGGCGAAGGCGGCGAUCUGGGUCGAUACUGACGCUGAGGUGCGAAAGCGUGGGGAGCAAACAGG